GGAGAGGUGACCGAGAGGCUUAUGGUGCCGCUCUCGAAAAGCGGACUCCGAUUAUAUCGGAGCGUGGGUUCGAAUCCCACCCUCUCCG
rnacentral:tRNA from 1 species